rnacentral:lncRNA from 1 species
AACUUUUAUUUUAGAAUUUAAUUUUAGUUAUGAAUUAUAACUUAAACUUUAAAUUCAAAUUGUAAAUUUAAUUUAUAUCUCAAAUUUUAAUUAUAAAUUUAAUUCAGAUUUAAGUUUAAAUUUAACUUUUAAAAUAUAAUUUUGAAUUCAAAAUUUAAAUUUAAAUUUAAAUUUUUAAUUUAAAUUGCGAGUAUAAGUCGUUUGUUUAUAUUUUCACUUCUUUAUGUGUAUAAUAAUUAAAGAAUCAAAAUUAUAAAACUGUAACUUUUCAUGUUUCGCUUUAUAGCCGACCAAACAAUCACACUGAAAAGUCACUUUUGCGAAAGUGAUUUUUUUGUUUUUACUUCAGCCACUUUGGGGCAACCAAACAUGCCAUUUACUGCACUUCUACAGCAGCACUAUUUUUCGCGACUUUUUCAAUUUUAAUGACCUUUUUAUUUU